CGCCUGGGAAGUACGUACGCAAGUAUGAAACUUAAAGGAAUUGGCGGGGGAGCACCACAAGGGGUGAAGCCUGCGGUUCAAUUGGAGUCAACGCCAGAAAUCUUACCUGGGGAGACAGCAGAAUGAAGGUCAAGCUGAAGACUUUACCAGACACGCUGAGAGGUGGUGCAUGGCCGUCGCCAGCUCGUGCCGUGAGAUGUCCUGUUAAGUCAGGUAACGAGCGAGACCCCUGCGUNNAGUUGCUACCAUUACUCUCUGGAGCAGUGGAGCGAAUUAGACGNACCGCCACAGUUAAUGUGGAGGAAGGAAGGGGCCACGGCAGGUCAGUAUGCCCCGAAACCCUAGGGCUACACGCGGGCUGCAAUGGUAUUGACAAUGUGUUCCGAAUCCGAAAGGAGGAGGCAAUCAUCAAACAAUAUCUCAG
rnacentral:rRNA from 1 species